rnacentral:rRNA from 1 species
AGAGUUUGAUCCUGGCUCAGAAUGAACGUUGGCGGCGUGGAUUAGGCAUGCAAGUCGUGCGAGAAUCCCCGCAAGGGGAGGACAGCGGCGAAAGGGAGAGUAACACGUGGAUACCUACCCUCGGGACCGGGAUAGCCGCGGGAAACUGCGGGUAAUACCGGAUAACAUCUCCGGAUCAAAGGUGUGAUUCCGCCUGAGGAUGGGUCCGCGUCCUAUUAGCUAGUUGGUGAGGUAACGGCCCACCAAGGCUUAGAUGGGUAUGGGGUGUGAGAGCAUGCCCCCACUCACUGGGACUGAGACACUGCCCAGACACCUACGGGUGGCUGCAGUCGAGGAUCUUCGGCAAUGGGCGCAAGCCUGACCGAGCGACGCCGCGUGCGGGAUGAAGGCCUUCGGGUUGUAAACCGCUGUCAGAGGGGAGGAAAUGCCGGUGGGUUCUCUCAUCGGUUUGACCUAUCCUCAGAGGAAGGACGGGCUAAGUUCGUGCCAGCAGCCGCGGUAACACGAACCGUCCAAACGUUAUUCGGAAUCACUGGGCUUAAAGGGUGCGUAGGCGGCCCGGCAAGUUGGGUGUGAAAGCCCUCGGCUCAACCGAGGAACUGCGCCCAAAACUGCCGGGCUUGAGGGAGAUA